GGGGGGGAUCAGAUCCCGCCCUAGUUCUGCUCCCAAGCCCUGGUGGGAGAGCUUCCCGAAACCAAAAAGUCUUCCGGUUCGGGGGGAAGUAAGGUUUGAAACGCUGAAACCUAAAAGGAAAUUGACGAAAGGGCCCCCCCCAGGAAGUGGGCAGCGGGCUUAAUUUGAACUCCCCGGGAAUCUACCCCUUGUUUGGCUGGCCCCUGGAUUUACUUUGCUUUUUCACUUGUCUUUGGUAAUGGAGUCUUAUCUUAAUUCCUUCUUUUGUGUUUAUUCGGAUACCGAGCGGAGAUUCCAGCCUCCUAACUAGUACGAGCAUUGGCCUCCUUGCCUCGGCACUCCUAACAGGGAUUUGCUCCGUCUACGGGUACGAACCGGAGCAUUACAGGUCUGUGAUGCCCUUAGAUGCCGCAGCUGGAGACGCUACCCUGGCAAAGGCAACGUGCCUUGUCGUCUCCGAAAGGAGCCGGUAAACCCUUGAAAAUUUGCCGUGAUUGGGAUCGGAAAGGCAAUUAGUAGAGGGCCGGGUGUAGCUUGCCCCUCCCCUUCC
rnacentral:rRNA from 1 species